UCAUAGUCACUACUAACAUAUUGUUUUAAAUGACUGAUAAAUUUUAUUUGCUGCGGUGAUAGACUGCCUGCUCUGCUGUACUUGGUUGUGGGCUUGUGGGGGAUUUUUAUUACAGGGGGCUUUUUGGUUGGUUUUUUUUUGUUGGUUUGGUUUUUUUUGGUUUUUUUUUUGUCUCCUUGUAAGCUCAGAAAAAUGACACAAAUGGCCCUGAGGUGGUCCUCUAAAGGCCUUUUUCUUCUCCUGUUUGCUGCAAAGAGAGCUGGUAGCCACUAGAGGGGAGGAGACUGCCGGCUUUACUGAGCACUCCAGAUACAGCUUGAAGGUGCAGAGGCUGUCACCAGACUGGUUGCCCAACGAAAUGGUUUAAAAUAUGUCAUGAAGGUGGCAUGCUGUGGUCUGCGGUGGGGUAUCAAUUCUGCUGAAGUCCGUGCGCUUUGCAGCAGUGCUGCUUCUUUUCACAUCAGGAAAAGAUAUUGUUGGUCCAACAAGUGGAUUGAAGAACAGAGGGGAGAAGAUCUGUUUCUGGAGAUAUCAUCUUCUAGAAAGAUGGUGCUAGCUGCAGGAAAAGGCCUGAACUGUCCUUUCAACCCCUUAGACAACUGCACUGGCUAGAGGGGAAGCUGAAUAAAGUGACAUUGUGUGUUUGCUCAGGGAAAAACACAGGAGUCCCUACCUUAUUUGCAGGCUAACAUUUAACCCGUGGGAUUUCUGGGCUGAUUUUUGUGGUGUUGUAAUUAUAAAAGAAAAAUAAAUGCUCUUUAUUUUUUUUCCUUUUUA
rnacentral:lncRNA from 12 species